UUUACAUAUCACAUAAGUCUGCACACAAUUUUCCUUUUUUAUCAGGUUACUGUACAUUUGUGGUCUCUAACGUUAACAUUAACAUGCGCACCCAUGCUGUGAGUCUAAUCCUGUGUUUGGUCUUUCUAGGUAUCCAGACAUGUUCCUAGUUGAGCUAAGGUGUUUUGUUUUUUAUUGUUAUUACAGGCAGGUUAGUUGUAGCCAUU